CUCUGGAGGGCUGAGAGAACUGCCAGCACCCUAGACAGAACAGUGCUGCUAGCAGGGACCAGAUUUAUUUCUUUGAACUUCCCUUGUUUCAUCAGCAGAGGAAGCUGGCUGGGGAGUGAGUUGCAGGGGAGAGAAGGAUCUCAUCUUUGAUUGAAUGUUGACCAUUCUGGUCCACCAGUUGGUCUUGGAAAGAAGCUAUGGACUCCUGUUGCUGCUGUUAGAUUGGAGGGCUACAAUUAUGGACACACCUGCUCUGCUUCCAUCUACUUUACACCACCUCCCUCAUGAUUCCAGAGUACCAGGAUCACAUCUGCCUUCAAGAUCCUGACUCCAAGCAAAUCACUCCCCUGGACCUGGGGAUUAUAUCCAUGGAUCAGCAGGUUUCAACAGAGAAAUGUGUUUUGUGUUGUCUGUCUGAAUCACUGUCCUUCCUGGUAACUUUUCCAAACCUCCUCUUUGCCUUUUAAAAAAAAUAAAUCUUCCCCCCACCCUCCCUUCAAUUUUAUUUUGUUUCAUCCCCAUCUGAUUUCCUAGAUUCUGGGUUUAUAGUAAAUUUCAGUGUUUCAAUCUACUUGCCCUAAAUGUACACUUAAUUAUUGCUGAUUAUGAGUCAUCAACUUACUGAGAAUUUGUUAUUGUGAGAUUGUCAGUUAUUUUUUCAAUAUUAUCAGUUCAGGAUGGUUUCUUUCACGGGUUUUUUUUAUGUUAAAUGAGUUGAAAUAAAUGUUAUGCUGAUUUACACUGAUGUACCUAUUUGGCAAUGUUGUUCACAUUAUAAUCCAGUAUAGACAAGACUUGAGAGGGUAAGGUUUAGUCAGAAAUGUUCUGCUAAUAAACCUUUAUCUGCAAAUGAUCCAGUUAUGGUGAAAUAAGGUUACUUUAACAAUCUGAAUAACUUUCUUAUAUCUCCACUAUAGACUUGUUCUCAAAUUGAUAUGCUAACCUCCUUCCCCCUUUUCUAUUUGUUUUGUGAAUAGUGCAGAAACCAUGUACUCCCUUGAUAUGAGACUAUUUCUGUUUUAUAAAGUUAAAGGGAAUCCAGUUAUACCCACAAAUGAGUGUUUGGGGGGUGCAGUGAGUGACAAGACCAUCCACUUAUAAACCUUCUGGAAUUAGGUCCUAUUUCAGUUUGGACAAGAAUUAUGUCUUUUUAAGAGAUCCUAGUCAAAUCUAAUCGCUUCAUUUCUCUUUCUCAAUUUUCCUAUCUUUUUUCCUUUCAUGGUCUACCUUACCCUUUCUCUUCCUGUCUCCCUCGUGUCCCCAGGGCAGUGAGGGGGAACCCAGAUAUAUCUUUCCUAGGUCUAGAAUUAACAAUGACCCAAGCAAUGACACUAUUCAGGAAUCUGGUAAAGAUAUAUUUGACUUAUGCACUCCUUAUGGCUACUAUUUUAAAUUGUGUUUCCU